rnacentral:lncRNA from 1 species
AAGUGUGUAGUGAUUUUACAAAUACAUUUAGCUCUGUCAGGAAACUGAACAGACAGGCAAGAUGGAACACGCAUCCACACCCGACACACCCACAUCCUGUUUGAUCACCUGAUUAAGCUGAUAAAUACCCAACAGUACUCCCAAGUGAACAACACGUUAUGGAAAUUUUUGACAUAAACUGGUGUUCAAAGAUUAUCCUUUUCAGUAGAGUCACAUCUAGAACUUAUCCGGGCGUUUUAAUACAAACAUUUGCGGAGUUGGAGCGUGAUGAGGGAUAAUGAAGAUGAAAACCAACAUUUUGGCAUUAAAGUAAAAGUUGAGGAAAAUGUCAAAGAAAAAUGUGUCAUUAUAACAAUGAAGUACGGAAAAAAAACAAAAGAAAUUCAUAUUUCUACACUUAGCCUAAAGGAGAAAUUCUCGAAAGAGAAGAGAGCCUUAUUAGACUUUAUAGGUCCUUUUAAUGAAAAUACUGUAUUUAAAAAAAUUACUUUCCAAAAACCAAAUAACACAUUUGAAAGUAACUAUGUGAUUUACAUCACUAGUUUCUAUGAUUAUGUCAACGUAAUUGAGUAUUUCUGGAAAAAUAAGGAAAAAAUACAAAAUAUAACGGACCCAAUUUAUAUAAUAUCAGGGUGUUAUAUUUCUUUAAUAGAUAGGAAUGAUUUCUACAUUAAAACUGAGCUCAGAAUUAAUGAUAACGAUAUUGAACUUGCAAUUCAGGAAGGCAAACUUAAUGUAUCUGAUAUUGUAAUUAAAGGAAAACAUUUAAAUCAUGUCCCAUAUAGUACAUUAGAUAAUAAGGUAUCGAUGAACCUAGAUUUCUGUCUUGCUCUCACUGAUAUAAUCUUUGGAAAUCAAGAAAAACUUCUUUGUAUAAAUAAUAGUUUUGACAUCACUGCUUUAGUUGCGGUAUUAUUUUCAGAGGUAAUCAGAAAUCCAGGGAUGAUAUUUAUUAACCUAAUUGCAAUGACAAUGGAUUCCUUAAAUACUUGGAAAGACUUCCGCCAGAUUAUGCCACCUUUAGUUGGGGGAACCUGGGAAAAUAAACAGGAGUACUGUUCCAAAUUUAUGAAACGACUAAACCUAUUUUUUUCAAAAACAUUUUCUGAAACAUUUUCUGAAAUUAUUUGAACAUGGAAAUUCUUUGAUUAAUUGAAUUUAUUUUAAAAAGUUGUCCUUCAUGGAAGGGGCGGGUGGUGGAGGGUCCAAAUAAAACAAAAUAAAACAUCCCAAAAUGUUAUAAAAUAUCAACAAAUUCAUCUUCAUUAUCCCCCACGUUGUUCCACCUCCGCUUCUGGGAGGAGCCAGGCGGGGCCACAGAGCGGCAGGCCCCACAAUGCAGCCUCCACACCACUGCAGUAACAGCCACAUCUUCCCAUCACAAUGCUUCAGUACUAUCUCAAUGUGUUGAAGUACCAUCCAGGAUCCUGUGUUAACGUCAAUGUGAAACAGCAUUGACCCGUGAUCACCACCAACCAGGGCUCCACAGCGGUAUCCUUGGACACCCAGUGAAUCCAGAGAGAGCACACCAGGCAGCAUUGAGCACUUUGAUGAGAUUGGCUGUUCAGCAGGAAGAUUCAUCUGGCUACACAGAAGGGAUGAUGGCUCUGACCAAUAAAAUUCUAUUUUUGAAACUAUAUAACUGAAUAAACUAUGAUUUAACUAAAAACAUAUUUCUGUUUUGGUUAGUAAUUAUUGCCUUAUUUCACUGUAGAGCCUCUAGCCCUGCUAAAUACGCCUUAUUUAUCCAUCCUACAAGUGUUUAGCAGAUGUUAUUGCGGGUGUAGCAAAAUGCUUGUGUUUCUAGCUCCAUCAGUGCAGUAAUAUCUAACAAUACACACAAAUCUAAGUAUAGGAAUGGAAUUAAGAAUAUAUAAAUAAAUGGGCGAACAAUGUCAGAACGGCAUAGACUAAGACACAGUAGUAUAGUAUAGAAUACAGUAUAUACAUAUGAGAUGAGUAAUACCAGAUGUGUAAACAUUAUUACAGUGACUAGUGUUCCAAAUUAAAGUGGCCAGCGAUUUCAAAUCUAUGUACAGUUGAAGUCGGAAGUUUACAUACACAGGUUGGAGUCAUUAAAAAAAAUGUCAACCACUCCACAAAUUUCUUGUUAACAAACUAUAGUUUUGGCAAGUCGGUUAGGACAUCUACUUUGUGCAUAACACAAGUCAUUUUUCCAACAAUUGUUUACAGACACAAUUCCAGUGGGUCAGAAGUUUACAUACACUAAGUUGACUGUGCUUUUAAACAGCUUGGUAAAUUCCAGAAAAUGAUGUCAUGGCUUUAGAAGCUUCUGAUAGGCUAAUUGACAUCAUUUGAGUCAAUUGAAGGUAUACCUGUGGAUGUAUUUCAAGGCCUACC